rnacentral:tRNA from 1 species
GCAGUGAUGGUUCAACGGUAGAAUUCUCGCCUUCUAUGUGGGAAGACCCAGGUUUGAUUCCUAGCCAAUGUC